rnacentral:rRNA from 1 species
GAUGAACGCUGACAGAAUGCUUAACACAUGCAAGUCUUUGGCGAAUCUGUGCUUGCACCGGCUAGCCAAGGCGGACGGGUGAGUAACGCGUAAAGAACUUGCCCUGCAGACAGGGAUAACAGACGGAAACGACUGAUAACACCUGAUACAGUUGCCGGCACGCAUGUGCCUGGCAAUGAAAAGAGAUGCUGCAGGAGAGCUUUGCGUCCUAUUAGCUUGUUGGUGAGGUGACGGCUCACCAAGGCGAUGAUAGGUAGCCGGCCUGAGAGGGUGAACGGCCACAAGGGGACUGAGAUACGGCCCUUACUCCUACGGGAGGCAGCAGUGGGGAAUAUUGGACAAUGGGGGCAACCCUGAUCCAGCAAUUCUGUGUGCACGAAGAAGGUUUUCGGAUUGUAAAGUGCUUUCAGCAGGGAAGAAGAAAGUGACGGUACCUGCAGAAGAAGCGACGGCUAAAUACGUG